AAUUGCGAAGUGUACUUUGUACCCAAACCAUAUUACAGUCGGGUUCUUCGAGAGGCCAGACGGACGCCAGAUCCACUCCGACAGAGAGAAGCGAAAGUUUGUAUAACCUAACUCGAAGAUCAAGUUUUGGAUCUAAUACAACACCAGAAUAGCAACCAUAUUCAGCUAAAGCACUUUGCUGCAAUGAUGAAACAUUUUAGACCAAAGAAAAAUUUCAGCUGGUUGUCUUUUCAUACAAUAGCAGAAACAGUGAAUGGAAAUGUGAUAAAUUCUGAUGGCAAAGCUAACGGAGAUCAUGUUAACGGAUCUAAUGGUGUCUCACGAAAGAAAAG